rnacentral:rRNA from 1 species
AGUAACACGUGGGUAACCUGCCUUAUAGUGGGGGAUAGCCUUUCGAAAGGAAGAUUAAUACCGCAUAAGAUUGUAGUAUCGCAUGAUAUAGCAAUUAAAGGAGCAAUUCGCUAUAAGAUGGACCCGCGUCGCAUUAGCUAGUUGGUGAGGUAAUGGCUCACCAAGGCGACGACGCGUAGCCGACCUGAGAGGGUGAUCGGCCACAUUGGGACUGAGACACGGCCCAGACUCCUACGGGAGGCAGCAUG